UCGAGAGGCUUUGGCAAUGGGGGAAACCCUGACCAAGCGACGCCGCGUGGAGGAUGAAGGCCCUUGGGUUGUAAACUCCUUUUGUCGGGGAAGAAACACGAUCAGGUGAACAAUCUGGUCGUUUGACGGUACCCGGCGAAUAAGCUCCGGCUAACUCCGUGCCAGCAGCCGCGGUAACACGGGGGGAGCAAGCGUUGUUCGGAAUCACUGGGCGUAAAGGGCGUGUAGGCGGUCAGGUAAGUGGAAUGUGAAAUCCCUCGGCUCACCCGAGGACCUGCAUCCCAAACUGCCUGGCUUGAGUAUGGGAGAGGAUGAGGGAAUUCCUGGUGUAGCGGUGAAAUGCGUAGAUAUCAGGAGGAACACCGGUGGCGAAGGCGCUCAUCUGGCCCAAUACUGACGCUGAGGCGCGAAAGCUAGGGGAGCAAACGGGAUUAGAUACCCCCGUAGUCC
rnacentral:rRNA from 1 species